UAUUGGUAUAAAGAUAUUAUUGGAGAUUAGGGGUAAAUUAACUAUGAUUAGAUUAUUAAGUGGGAUUAAAAUUUAAAUCACUUCAUUAAUUAAUUAAGCUUAAGGGGCCAUGUGGGCCCCACCCGAAUAAAAAAAAAAAAAAAAAAAGGAAUCAAAAUCUGGAAAUUAACAAAACAAGGUGCAAAAGUGAGUCAUCAAAAGGGGGAAUACGUGUAGCAAUAUGGGAAAUAUAUAUAUUUAAUUGGAUGUAGUGCAAAUGACCAUUUUCAAGUCAUUUGUUGGUAGACAAAGCAAGAGCAAGAAAAAAAAAGUGCCCAUGGCUGCUCACGGCUAGAUUGGGGUUUAAAAAAAAAAAAUCAGUUUUGUUGCUUAGUAAAAAUUCUAAGGAGAAGACAAGGAGAUAGAGGUGGAGAAGCAAGAAUAAGUAUAAAGAUUUAAGACACAAAUUGGAGCCAAGUAUCCAAAGCGAAAAGAGCAACGAGGCAAAAGGGAUUCACGGAUAGUCGUCGACAGGUACAUACGACAGGUUCGCUGAUCCGCCCGCUUAGGAUCUUAUUCUGCUAUUCUGAGGCGCUCUCUUAUCCGGAGCCUAUAUUUUUGGUACAGUCUCCUGCUAUUGUAUAAAUGUACGUCACUCAGGGGUACGACGGGGCCCUGUCCCGUCAUAUGAUUCUGUCGGUCUGUUUAGAGGUCUGUGGGCAUGUUUGUGGGUUGGGGGUCUUCCUGUAUGAAUGCGUGUAUAUGUUGUGUUUGGGCGAUCCCAUUCGCCGCGGCGGCCGGUCCGCAUAUGUUUAAAUGUUGCUUUGUUGGCCCUGUGUGGCCUUUGUUGGUAUUUUCUGUGCGCAGGGUAUAUUGG